AUACGUAGGGUGCAAGCGUUAAUCGGAAUUACUGGGCGUAAAGCGUGCGCAGGCGGUUUUGUAAGACAGUGGUGAAAUCCCCGGGCUCAACCUGGGAACUGCCAUUGUGACUGCAAGGCUGGAGUGCGGCAGAGGGGGAUGGAAUUCCGCGUGGAGCAGUGAAAUGCGUAGAUAUGCGGAGGAACACCGAUGGCGAAGGCAAGCCCCUGGACCUGCACUGACGCGCAUGCACGAAAGCGUGGGGAGCAGACAGGAUUAGAUACCCUUGUAGUCCACGCCCUAAACGAUGUCAACUGGUUGUUGGGAAUUUAUUUUCUCAGUAACGAAGCUAACGCGUUAAGUUGACCGACUGGGGAGUACGGCCGCAAGGUUAAAACUCAAAUGAAUUGACGGGG
rnacentral:rRNA from 1 species